rnacentral:rRNA from 1 species
UAACGCGUGGGGCAACCUGCCCCAUAGAGGGGGACAACAGCUGGAAACGGCUGCUAAUACCGCAUAACAAGGAGAGAGCGCAUGUUCUUUUCUUCAAAGAUUUAUCGCUAUGGGAUGGACCCGCGUCUGAUUAGCUAGUUGGUGAGGUAACGGCUCACCAAGGCGACGAUCAGUAGCCGGCUUGAGAGAGUGAACGGCCACAUUGGGACUGAGACACGGCCCAGACUCCUACGGGAGGCAGCAG